GACGAACGCUGGCGGCGUGCUUAACACAUGCAAGUCGAACGGAAAGGCCCUGCUUGCAGGGUGCUCGAGUGGCGAACGGGUGAGUAACACGUGGGUGAUCUGCCCCUUACUUUGGGAUAAGCCUGGGAAACUGGGUCUAAUACUGGAUAGGACCAUGCUGUAGGGGGUGUGGUGGAAAGAUUAGUUUCGGUAAGGGAUGAGCUCGCGGCCUAUCAGCUUGUUGGUGGGGUAAUGGCCUACCAAGGCGUCGACGGGUAGCCGGCCUGAGAGGGUGGACGGCCACAUUGGGACUGAGAUGCGGCCCAGACUCCUACGGGAGGCAGCAGAGGGGAAUAUUGCACAAUGGGCGCAAGCCUGAUGCAGCGACGCCGCGUGGGGGAUGACGGCCUUCGGGUUGUAAACUCCUUUCAGCCAUGACGAAGCCCUUGUGGUGACGGUAGUGGUAGAAGAAGCACCGGCUAACUACGUG
rnacentral:rRNA from 1 species